GCCUCAGUGGCCAAGUGGUAAGCCGUCGGUCUUGUAAACCGAAGAUCAUGGGUUCUACCCCCAUCUGAGGCU
rnacentral:tRNA from 1 species